UGCGGGGUGGUGUAAUUGGUAACACGCACGCCUUUGGAGCGUCGCGACUCUAGGUUCGAUCCCUAGCCCCGCAG
rnacentral:tRNA from 1 species